GACGAACGCUGGCGGCGUGCUUAACACAUGCAAGUCGAACGGUGAUGCUCCAGCUUGCUGGAGUGGAUCAGUGGCGAACGGGUGAGUAACACGUGAGCAACCUGCCCCAGACUCUGGAAUAAGCGCUGGAAACGGCGUCUAAUACUGGAUACGAAACUGGCCCGCAUGGGCAUGGUUUGGAAAGUUUUUCGGUUUGGGAUGGGCUCGCGGCCUAUCAGCUUGUUGGUGAGGUAAUGGCUCACCAAGGCGACGACGGGUAGCCGGCCUGAGAGGGCGACCGGCCACACUGGGACUGAGACGCGGCCCAGACUCCUACGGGAGGCAGCAGUGGGGAAUAUUGCACAAUGGGCGAAAGCCUGAUGCAGCGACGCCGCGUGAGGGAUGACGGCCUUCGGGUUGUAAACCUCUUUCAGCAGGGAAGAAGCGAAAGUGACGGUACCUGCAGAAGAAGCACCGGCUAACUACGUG
rnacentral:rRNA from 1 species